CCUGUUCACCAAACCCAAUCUCCGCCCUGCCCAAGCCCAGAUCUGUCUCCCACUGUGCACAGGCCCAACACCCCUUGGGGGCCUGUGUGGAUGUGCCGUGUGUGUGUGUGUGUGUGUGUGUGUGUGUGUGGACACGCAUCCACAAGGGCAGGAGGGAGGGCUCUCCCCUUCCAGAGCUCUAAAAGGGGCCAUGCUGAGGGCAUUCACCAGAAUCUCUCAGUGGGCCUGAGGGAGGCGACAGGAGGCCUGUUGUGCUGACAGUUAGCCAUGGGUCUCGGAAAGGGACGGACUUGUCCAGGAUCCCACAGCGGGGGAGAAGCAGAUCUGGGCCUGAACCUGAUUUCCAAGCCUUGCUCUCUCCCCGACUGCACAGCAACUCUCGGGCUGAGCCCCCGUUGCCGUCUGUGGGGGUGAACUCAGACACCUCCUGUGUGUGCCCACGCCCCCCACCCUGCCGCACCCCACACACAGUACAGCCACCUUCUUGCCCUUUGCAAUCAGAGGACUUGUCUCGGUGAGAAGGAGCUUCUCAGGCCAUAAUCUCAGGAAGAGACUGAGGCAAGCCUAGACUGAGCUCCUCCCACCCGCAUCUCCCAACAGAGACUCCACUUACCCCUCCAUGGGGUGACUGGUGCAUCCUCAGAGCCUCCUGGGGACCAGGAAAGAGGGGUCCCUGACCACGACGACACACAGGGGACAGGACUGGGGCCCCUCACCUGAGACCAGCAGCUCCAGGGGGUCACUGGGGUGUGACAACAGGUAGGGGGAGGGGCUGGAUGAGGCGUAGCACCUGUAGGUCCCCUCAUGGUCUGAGGUCACAGGACUCAUGCUGAAGUUGACCUGAUAAGGUGCAGUUGUGUCCUGCAGACGAAUGUGCUGGGGAGGAGCAGGUGACCCCUCCUUGGACAGGUAGAAGGUGUCGAGCCAGAUUUCCGAGCGACACUGCAGGGUCACAUUCUCUCCCCAGGACACUGAGGGCCCCGGCUGG